rnacentral:lncRNA from 1 species
UGACCUCAGCUGGCAGCGCCCUUCUCCUACUUCCCUGGUGACAACUGGGAGGUCAGGAAAGACACAGGUGCAGUCAUGGUCAUUUGUAACAGGUAAGAAGCGAGCCCGCCCACGCACGUGUAACCAGUUGCAGCCCGUAGAACAAGAGAAGCAAUGAUACCUCUUCUGGGCAAAGACACGGGGAAGCUCCGGAGAGAUUCCACAGCAGACUCGGAUACCAUUGAUCAGGUGGUAGAUCUGAACUGAUGAAUCACACACAGCAUGGCAGUCACUCAAAACCCACCCAUGAGAAAGAAAGAAACUGUCUUUGUAUUG